UUCCUAGAUUCUGACAAGCCACAGAAAUACCUGAUUUCAAAGAGAUGCUUGCAUUCUAUACUGAUACCAUCUAGGAGUGUAAAUGCCUAAUGUCACACUGCUGAGAAAGGACAGCUGUUGGGAGCAGAGGCUGUCAAAAGGGAGCAUAAUGCUGUAUUUGUUGGAGGCAGGUCCUGUCUCCUUGUGAUCUGAAAGAGUCAAAGAAUUCCACUUUACUGAAAACAAGCUUCAGACUGCAGAUGAGCUGUGAGGGAUUGGAAAGCCCUAUUAGGAUCAGCUGGUUGGCUUUGAAGGAGUAUGGGAUACUUCAAAUUACUCUGUAACAGCAUUUAGGAGAGAGAUGCUGGAGUCAUGCUUCAUCAUUGCCAGCCCUAUGUCUCUUGAAGGUUAAACCUCUCGAUGACGAAAUGAAAAAUUUAAACACAAACCAAGCAAAAACAAAAGCACCACGUGCCUGCUGUUGGGAUCACGCCUUUCUCUCCAAAAGGACCCCUCUUCUCUGCUCGCUCGAUCGUUCUUCCACGUAAUCUCUGCCCCGUGGCACCCGGGUUGUCUCGUCCAG